GGGUGCUCUGGAUCUUUCUGUCCUGAGCAUGUUGCAGGUCAGAAAUGUGAAAGCCCCGAAUUAAUUUUCAUUAACCCGGGGCUAACCUGCUAGCCUCAACAACUACAGGUUAGUUCUCUGCUGGCCGAAAGGCAAGGAGUAAGAACGAUG
rnacentral:antisense_RNA from 1 species